rnacentral:rRNA from 1 species
UGGGUGACCUGCCCUCAGCUCUGGGAUAAGCCCGGGAAACUGGGUCUAAUACCGGAUAUGACCUCUCAUCGCAUGGUGAGGGGUGGAAAGUUUUUCGGCUGGGGAUGGGCCCGCGGCCUAUCAGCUUGUUGGUGGGGUGAUGGCCUACCAAGGCGACGACGGGUAGCCGGCCUGAGAGGGUGUCCGGCCACACUGGGACUGAGAUACGGCCCAGACUCCUACGGGAG